rnacentral:rRNA from 1 species
UGGUGGGUAGUUUGACUGGGGCGGUCUCCUCCUAAAGAGUAACGGAGGAGCACGAAGGUUGGCUAAGCAUGGUCGGACAUCAUGCGGUUAGUGCAAAGGCAUAAGCCAGCUUGACUGCGAGAGUGACGGCUCGAGCAGGUACGAAAGUAGGUCUUAGUGAUCCGGUGGUUCUGAAUGGAAGGGCCAUCGCUCAACGGAUAAAAGGUACUCCGGGGAUAACAGGCUGAUACCGCCCAAGAGUUCAUAUCGACGGCGGUGUUUGGCACCUCGAUGUCGGCUCAUCACAUCCUGGGGCUGAAGUAGGUCCCAAGGGUAUGGCUGUUCGCCAUUUAAAGUGGUACGCGAGCUGGGUUUAGAACGUCGUGAGACAGUUCGGUCCCUAUCUGCCGUGGGCGUUGGAAGAUUGAGAGGGGUUGCUCCUAGUACGAGAGGACCGGAGUGAACGCACCACUGGUGUUCGGGUUGUCAUGCCAAUGGCAUUGCCCGGUAGCUAAGUGCGGAAGAGAUAACCGCUGAAAGCAUCUAAGCGGGAAACUUGCCUCGAGAUG